ACUGUUGAAAUUAUCUAUAUGUGAUUUUACAUGACCCGAUGUGAUUGAUAAACUGAAAAGUUUAAGGCCUCUGGGAUAUCAAAACAAGUCUGCUUAUACAGAAAAUCAGGUUGUUACCCAUGUUACUUCAAAUGCAAAAAUAUUACUGUACAAGGCUUCUUUGGUACUCUGGCAUUUUAUCCAUUUCCUUCUACACUGUGACAAAUGAAAAGACUUCACUGCCAAUGUGGAUUUCCUCUUCUUCUAUAUGCACAUCUGACCCCUGAAAGCCUUUCUGUAGUUUACUGUUCACAAAAAAGGAGCCAAAGAAAUUAAUCUAAUAAUGCACUCUAAUGACUAAAGCAUUAUCCUACCGGAUCAGCAUUUACUUAAGGAACACAUGUGACACAAGCAUAAUAAACAUCACAGCAGAUUCACUCUGUACAAAGUGUUAACAUAAGUCAGGGUCCUGUCCUCCAGGUUCAUGAAUGUCCACUAGCUUCAUACUACAUCGACUGCUCCACACCACCUUUGGUUGUGGUCCACUGUAACACAACCACUUUCCUGAUCUUUCCACUAUUUGACCUCAACUGAAGCAAAAACUGUAGUCUAAGUCUUCAGGCCGUUAUUUUCCUGUUAUUUGCAUAUCUUUUCUUAACCAUUUCACAUAAAGGCUUCAUACAGGAAAAGCCAAGCAGAUCACGAAUGUGGUACCUCAUCACCAGAUCCUUAUCAUCUGGCCAUUACGACUGAGAAAAUAAACGCCCUUUACGAGUCUGACCUCCAAAAGUGACCUCGAAGUAUUGAAAGCCAGAACGCUGCCCGACAGGCCGAAGGGAGAGCAGGCAGCUGUGAGUGCCGCCGUCGGCGGCCACGCCUCUGCGCGCACACUACCCACCCAGCCCCCGUCACGCAGACACCCGCGGGCCCGGCAGCUAACGGGCCCGGCCAACGCACAGCAGCUCACGCGGUCCCGGUAAGGGCUCAGCGGGGGCGGCGGGAGGAGAGAGAGCCGCUUGAGCAGAAAGCAGCACGUUGCAGUGCCGGGGCGACGGGAUCCCCAACGGACGCCGAGAACCCGCGACCGCAGCGGCUUACCUAGCUCCGGCUGCCACCGGGCCCCGCCCACCUGCGCACCAUCUGUCGCCACGUGAUUGCAGCCGGGAGUGGGGCGGGCUGCCCGGCGGCGCUUCCAUGGCAGCGCCGAGCGCCGGGCGCUUCCGCUUCCGGCGGCCAGACGGCAACAGAGCCCGGCCGUGGUUAGGCCGCACCGGGCGGCAGGGGUAAUUGGGGCCCACACUGGGCAGGAGGAGAGGGUGGCAUGUGGCCGCCGCCGCCGCUGCUGAUGACCUGGCUUCUGGCGGGGAUGCUACUGGCUGGCUGUUGCGGGGAUGCUGCAGUGGCGGCCCUUCCCCCCGGGAGUGCCGCCACCGCCUCCCUGCGCCCUACGGAGGUGGCCGGCGGGGGCGCUACGCUAAGCAGCAGCAGCAGCCGCCUGGCCGAAGUGUCGGCGCCGCCCGAGCAGGGCCAGCCCAUGACCCAGCGCGCCCUAUCCGUGCUGGUGCUGGCCAGUGCCGCCCUCAUCGUCUACUUCGUGAUCCGGACCGUGCGGCUCAGAAGGCGGAACAGAAAAACCCGAAGAUACGGAGUUUUGGAUACAAACAUAGAAAACAUGGAGCUAACCCCAUUAGAGCAAGAUGAUGAAGAUGACGAUACAACAUUAUUUGAUGCCAGUCAUCCUCGAAGUUGGAGAAGGGAUGUCAAGAUCACUUGAAUUUUAAAUGGGCGAGAAUUUAGUGGGCAAGAAGAUAAACACCAUUUGUCUUCAGCAUGUGAGUUCCAGAGAAAUGGAGAGGAAGAGAAGUACGUGCCUUUCAGUGAAAGAACUUAAUCUUAGAACCAGAGAAGGAGACUGCUUCAUGGGAGGAAUAAGAAGCAAGAGGGUAUGCAAGUUGGGGGGACUAAUGUAAUUUGUAUAUAUUUUGGCAUCCUUAAUUUGUUGCAAUAAAUACUGUACUAAUUUGUUGUACCUUUUUCUAUAUAGAGGAUUCUAAAUGUAAAGCCUACAGAGAGAGUGCACGAAAUUGAAAACCUAUUUGGAAGGGAGGUUACUUUUAAAACAGGGUAUUUUUUGCUUGUUACAAAUCUUGUAUGCCGUAAGUGUGGUAUACACUUUUUCUACAGUAAUCUGGAAUGUUAACAAAUUUUUUUUCUGAUAUUAACUGUAAGUAAACAUAGCCUCUGUGGAUUCUUCAGAAUUGUUAGAACUUGAUUUUAAUUGAGGAGAUGCUUUGUCCUUUACAAAUAAAAAGCCAAACUACUGCCUUUUGUGUUGAGACUUUUUUAAAACUGAAUUAACAUGUUUUAUGUAAACCUUAGUGAACAAAUAAAAACUGUUUACAGUGUUCCUACUGUUUAGCAUGAUAUUUCAACACUUUUUAGAUUUUAAAGUUAUUAAUAUGAUCUUGUAAAACACAGUACUGUACCAUCUUUUUGCUGUUAAAACUAACGAUUGCAACUAUUGAGUCUUUUUUUUUUUUUGUCUUCUUUUUUCUGAGGUCCAUCUUUAGUUUGUGUGAACAGAUGUUGCUCACCAACUUUAGGGUGCUGCUGGGAAAUCUUUCCUGCUUCUUCCCGUCUUGCUGUUUGAACAAAAUAGGAAUACCUUAUUUGUCUUUGAGGUUAUUUCUGCAGUGAUGGGGUGGGGAGGGGGUCUGCUGUAGACUUCUUUUAACCCUGUACCAACUGUUUUGCUCUACUGAAACCUACUUACUUUGCCGUAGUAACAACUCAGAUGA